rnacentral:ribozyme from 1 species
GAGGGAUCUAUUCCCUCACCUUAAUGCAGCUCCGAAAGGAACGGUGACAAGCCCGUAUUAAUGCAGAGUCAAGGA